UCUGAGGGUCCGAGGUCACCUGAANAAGGAUGAUUGGUUGUCUUCUGGCGCCGGCCGGGCCUACAGAGCGGGUGACAAAGCCCCAUACGCUCGAGGACCGGACUCGGUGCCGCCGCUGCCUUUCGGACCCGUCCCCGGGGGGACGGAGCCCAACACACAAGCCGUGCUUGAGGGCAGCAAUGACGCUCGGACAGGCAUGCCCCCCGGAAUACCAGGGGGCGCAAUGUGCGUUCAAAGACUCGAUGAUUCACUGAAUUCUGCAAUUCACAUUAGUUAUCGCAUUUCGCUGCGUUCUUCAUCGAUGCCGGAACCAAGAGAUCCGUUGUUGAAAGUUUUAACUUAUUUAGUUUAUGCUCAGACUGCAAUCUUCAGACAGAGUUCAAUAGUGUCUCCGGUGCGCGCGGAACCCGGGGGCAGAAGCCCCCCGGCGGCCGUGAGGCGGGGCGCACCGAAAC
rnacentral:rRNA from 1 species